UACGGAGGAUGCAAGCGUUAUCCGGAUUUAUUGGGUUUAAAGGGUGCGCAGGUUGUUUGAUAAGUCAGUGGUGAAAGUCUGUCGCUUACCGGUAGGAUUGCCAUUGAUACUGUUAGACUUGAAUAUGGAUGAGGUAGGCGGAAUGUGUAGUGUAGCGGUGAAAUGCAUAGAUAUUACACAGAACACCGAUUGCGAAGGCAGCUUACUAACCCAUCAUUGACGCUGAGGCACGAAAGCGUGGGGAUCAAACAGGA
rnacentral:rRNA from 1 species